rnacentral:rRNA from 1 species
UCUGAUGCAGCGAUGCCGCGUGAGUGAAGAAGGCCUUUGGGUUGUAAAGCUCUUUCGUCGGGGAAGAAAAUGACUGUACCCGAAUAAGAAGGUCCGGCUAACUUCGUGCCAGCAGCCGCGGUAAUACGAAGGGACCUAGCGUAGUUCGGAAUUACUGGGCUUAAAGAGUUCGUAGGUGGUUGAAAAAGUUGGUGGUGAAAUCCCAGAGCUUAACUCUGGAACUGCCAUCAAAACUUUUUAGCUAGAGUAUGAUAGAGGAAAGCAGAAUUUCUAGUGUAGAGGUGAAAUUCGUAGAUAUUAGAAAGAAUACCAAUUGCGAAGGCAGCUUUCUGGAUCAUUACUGACACUGAGGAACGAAAGCAUGGGUAGCGAAGAGGAUUAGAUACCCUCGUAGUCCAUGCCGUAAACGAUGUGUGUUAGACGUUGGAAAUUUAUUUUCAGUGUCGCAGCGAAAGCGAUAAACACACCGCCUGGGGAGUACGACCGCAAGGUUAAAACUCAAAUGAAUUGACGGGGACCCGCACAAGUAGUGGAGCAUGUGGUUUAAUUCGAAGAUACGCGCAGAACCUUACCAACACUUGACAUGUUCGUCGCGACUCUAAGAGAUUAGAGUUUUCGGUUCGGCCGGACGAAACACAGGUGCUGCAUGGCUGUCGUCAGCUCGUGUCGUGAGAUGUUGGGUUAAGUCCCGCAACGAGCGCAACCCUCACUUUUAGUUGCCAUCAUUAAGUUGGGCACUCUAAAAGAACUGCCAGUGAUAAGCUGGAGGAAGGUGGGGAUGACGUCAAGUCCUCAUGGCC